rnacentral:rRNA from 1 species
UCGAGAAUUUUUCACAAUGGGGGAAACCCUGAUGGAGCGACGCCGCGUGGAGGAUGAAGGUUUUCGGAUUGUAAACUCCUGUCACUUCAGAACAAGACUACGUAUUCUAAUACAUUAUGUAGUUGAUGGUAUGAGGAGAGGAAGGGACGGCUAACUCUGUGCCAGCAGCCGCGGUAAUACAGAGGUCCCGAGCGUUGUUCGGAUUCAUUGGGCGUAAAGGGUGUGUAGGAGGUUAAAUAAGUCAGGCGUGAAAUCUCACCGCUUAACGGUGAAAUUGCGCUUGAUACUGUUUAGCUAGAGGAUUUGAGGGGGUAACGGAAUUCUUGGUGUAGCAGUGAAAUGCGUAGAUAUCAAGAGGAACACCAGUGGCGAAGGCGGUUACCUGGAAAAUUCCUGACUCUGAAACACGAAAGCUAGGGGAGCAAACG